AUUGAACGCUGGCGGCAGGCCUAACACAUGCAAGUCGAACGGUAACAGGAAGCAGCUUGCUGCUUCGCUGACGAGUGGCGGACGGGUGAGUCAUGUCUGGGCAACUGCCUGAUGGAGGGGGAUAACUACUGGAAACGGUAGCUAAUACCGCAUAACGUCGCAAGACCAAAGAGGGGGGCCUUAGGGCCUAUUGCCAUCGGAUGUGCCCGGGUGGGGUUUGCUAGUAGGUGGGGUAACGGCUCACCUAGGCGACGAUCCCUAGCUGGUCUGAGAGGAUGACCAGCCACCCGGGAACUGAGACACGGUCCAGACUCCUAGGGGAGGCAGCAGUGGGGAAUAUUGCACAAAGGGGGCAAGCGUGAUGCAGCAAUGCCGCGUGUAUGAAGAAGGCCUUCGGGUGGGAAAGUACUGUCGGCGGGGAGGAAGGGAGUAAAGUUAAUACCUUUACUCAUUGACGUUACCCGCAGAAGAAGCAACGGCUAACUCCGUG
rnacentral:rRNA from 1 species